ensembl:snRNA U1 U1 spliceosomal RNA
AUACUUACACUGGCAAGGAGAAAAUGUGAUCAAGAAUGCAGUUCACCCCAGGGUGAUAGGUAGCCAUUCACUCGGCUGUGCUGACCCCUGGCGAAUUUUCCCAAAUGUGGAAAUCCGAUUGCAUAAUUAUGGUAGUGGGUGCACUGCGUUCGCGCUCUCCCUGA